AGCCGUUGGGAGCCCAGGAGGCGGGGCGCCUGUGGGAGCCGUGGAGGGAACUUUCCCAGUCCCCGAGGCGGAUCCGGUGUUGCAUCCUUGGAGCGAGCUGAGAGCUCGAGGUGAGCUGGGCUCGCGGUCGCCCCUCUCGCGCGCCCUCUUUAAGAACCACGGCGUCCAACCUCCCUGGAAAUGGGGGGAACAUGGCCGAGGCGCGUGGCGAGGCCGCCUCGUGGAGGCCCCGGAGCGGCAUCCUCAGCGCCCCAGCGAUCCGGUGCCCAUUAGAACCUGCUAAGGCCAUCAAACCUAUUGAUCGGAAGUCAGUCCAUCAGAUUUGCUCUGGGCCGGUGGUACCGAGUCUAAGCACUGCGGUGAAGGAGUUAGUAGAAAACAGUCUGGAUGCUGGUGCCACUAAUAUUGAUCUAAAGCUUAAGGACUAUGGAGUGGAUCUCAUUGAAGUUUCAGGCAAUGGAUGUGGGGUAGAAGAAGAAAACUUCGAAGGCUUAACUCUGAAACAUCACACAUCUAAGAUUCAAGAGUUUGCCGACCUACCUCAGGUUGAAACUUUUGGCUUUCGGGGGGAAGCUCUGAGCUCACUUUGUGCACUGAGUGAUGUCACCAUUUCUACCUGCCAUGUAUCGGCGAAGGUUGGGACUCGACUGGUGUUUGAUCACUAUGGGAAAAUCAUCCAGAAAACCCCCUACCCCCACCCCAGAGGGAUGACAGUCAGUGUGAAGCAGUUAUUUUCUACGCUACCUGUGCACCAUAAAGAAUUUCAAAGGAAUAUUAAGAAGGACUCCUAGAAGUACCCCACCCCACCCCUGCUCCUUGGAGGACAACGUGAUCACUGUAUUCAGCUCUGUCAAGAAUGGUCCAGGUUCUUCUAGAUGAUCUGCACAAAUGGCUCCUCUCCUCCUUCCUGAUGUCUGCCAUUAGCACUGGAAUAAAGUUCCUGCUGAAAAUCCAC
rnacentral:lncRNA from 1 species